rnacentral:rRNA from 1 species
AUUGAACGCUGGCGGCAUGCCUUACACAUGCAAGUCGAACGGUAACGGGCCUUCGGGUGCCGACGAGUGGCGAACGGGUGAGUAAUGUAUCGGAACGUACCUUCCAGUGGGGGAUAACGUAGCGAAAGUUGCGCUAAUACCGCAUAUUCUGUGAGCAGGAAAGCAGGGGAUCGCAAGACCUUGCGCUGAUUGAGCGGCCGAUAUCAGAUUAGCUAGUUGGUGAGGUAAAGGCUCACCAAGGCGACGAUCUGUAGCGGGUCUGAGAGGAUGAUCCGCCACACUGGAACUGAGACACGGUCCAGACUCCUACGGGAGGCAGCAGUGGGGAAUUUUGGACAAUGGGGGCAACCCUGAUCCAGCCAUGCCGCGUGAGUGAAGAAGGCCUUCGGGUUGUAAAGCUCUUUCGGCCGGGAAGAAAUCGUAUCAGCUAAUACCUGGUGCGGAUGACGGUACCGGCAUAAGAAGCACCGGCUAACUACGUGCCAGCAGCCGCAGUAACAC